rnacentral:lncRNA from 10 species
UAACAUUUCUCAUCAAAGAGUGUUCUAUAGGGAAGAGAUAAAACCUAAACAGUCCCGGAAGCUGAGACAAGAAACUGAAAAAAAAAGGAAAGUGAGCAACAAGAUAAUGUAAGUCACAACUGAGCCAAUUAAGGAGCAGGAGAUGCAGCAGCAUGUCCCAAACAAAACUGAUUGGAGGUCAAGUGUGGACAACCAGAGCAAGUUCUUGCACAGCUAAUGUAUCCCCAGGUGUGAACUGAGUAACAUGAAGAAAGGCAUCCUCCUGCCACCUCCUGAAUCAGUAGAAAAAGACAAAAGCUUUUGAUGGGAUUAUGCUGGAGUCCAUGUCAUGGAACCAAACUGGAAAUUUUCUGGCAUGAUUUUAGGCGUUUUGCAUGAACUCUAAUUCAUUGAAAUGUAACAACCUUAUAAGGUUCCAGGUGUGUCUUAGUUUUGAAGCUUCACAGCAGCUGAGUAGUAGUGUGUGGUGAGCAUAACAAAUACCUAAAACUUUCAGGAAGGUGAAUCCUUCUCUCUGACCGUGGGAACUAUGGUCUGAAGAUGAAUGCCAAUCGCAAGAUAAUUCAAAUAUUGAAAUUAUGAAACAAUGACUUCCAAAUCAGCUAUGAUAAUGUGAUCUACAAGCUAAGGUCUAAUAUCCUCAAAACAAAUGGAAAGACAGAACAUCUUAGCAGGGAAAUAAAAGAUUCAACUGGCUCAUGGUUUGUACCGGGGGAACCAAGCCCAUGGUUGGGAUCCAGGGGUCCCUCCAGUCUCCUGUUCCAUGGUCGCACACACCUUGAGGGCACCCACACGGUUUGAUCGUCUCCUUAUAUUGCUGCUGGCAGACUCGUGACGGGGUUUCUCAUUCAUCUGAAGAGAAAGUCAGAGAGAAUCAAAGCAUGUGAAGAGAGACCUCACGCAAGGAGGUCUAGGAGCCUAGAGUGAUCUUCAGCCAACAGUCAAAAAGAUAACUGGGACAACCACAAGGAACUGACUUCUAUAAGAGAAAUGAGCCUGGAAAAGGACUCCAAGCUUCAGAUGAAAAUGUAGUUGGCUGACACUUUGAUUUUAGUCUUGUGAAACCCUAAGCAGAGAAUCCAAGUAAGUCCCCCUGAACUUCUCACCUAAAGAACAAUGAGUUAAUAAAUAAGGGGUAUGAUAAGUCAUGAAAUAUGUGGUAAUUUAUUACAAAACAAUAUAUAAUGAUACAGAUACCUAUCUGGUAGCCAGAUAUUAUCCUAAGUAUUUUCCACAAGACAUUUAAUUUGAUUUAAUUAACACGCAACUCCAUAAGAGACAGAUCCUUUUAACUAUUUUGCAGGUGGUAAACUGAGGCUCAAGUAAUUUAUGUGAUUUGUCUAAGGUCCCAUAGGCUAUAAGUGUCAGAGCCCAGAUUGAGAAGUGUUUGGCUGUUCAUGCAAGUGCAAGCAGCUUUCAUUAAACUAUUCGCAGAAGUCUGUCAGAAUAGCUAGCAAGGAUACCAACUAUCUAGGGAAAGUCACACCAAAGGAGUGACCCAAAGAAACACAUUUUAACCUGAACUGCCUGGUAAUACACUGAAGGCAAAUCAGCCCCAAAGACUAAAAUUGUUAAUUUUCUGUGAUUCCUCGCUGUUUUAUUUAAUAUAAUAUGACCUUAACCUAGUCUUGAUAUUUGAUUUCUGAACAAUGAGUCAAGAGAGUUGCCUUCUCUAUGUAGUAGUACUUUACUGUUGUCAAAGACUUGUCCUUUGGUGCUUCAUAUUUUGCUUUACCUACAUGGAACAUUGCUAAUUUAGGUGAUAGCCUAACUAUUUAUAGUUAAAUACACCCACCAAGUUCCCUUUACCCUUCAAAUUAACUAAAAAGAAACAACUUCCUACUUCUUACACCACAUAAAAUUCAUAUUUUGCUUUAAAUGUAAUUUUUCAGCAAAGAGCCUAGUGGAGUUCACUUAAAACUAACCAAAUCAGCUGUUAAAAUUGUCCAUUUGAUCACAUGGGUUAUAGGCAUAGUUAUUUGACUGAGUUAUGACAAUGCUCAGAAACAGAAAAGACAGUCAAAGGUUAUCAUGUAAGUUCAAUAAAAAUUCAACAGUUGUUUUUAAAGAUUUUCAUAUGAUAAUAUUGUUUCACUUUCUAUUACCCAUAUUUGAUUUCAUUUACAAAUAAAAUACUACCCACUCUAUGAAUCAUGCUUUUAUCUCAAAUAUAUCUAGAGUGAAUCUCUAUGAUUUUUAGAAUACAGAAAUAUACAUUUUAAAAAGAUUUUAACAUUUAUUGUAAAUAAUUUAAGACAACUUUUAGAUAUAUCACGUGAGUGUUUAACUCAAUUUUCAUGACCCAGCUGGCCCAAAUUAGUCUUUUUUAUAAAUUGUUUUUUGAGUUGAAAUUAUUCUUUCACACCUAAAGAACUCUAUCUGAUGCUCUAGAGAGAAAUAUUCAAUUGAACUUCACAAUGUAGAACAUUUCCUGCAUUCUCCAUUGUAGACUGUGAUGAAUAAAUCAAUAUGUGCUUACUAAAAACAAAUGAUACAAUUUAAGGAAAUAUAUUAUUUUGAGUCCUGAUUCAAAGAAAAUAACCAAAUAUUUAAAAUUUAUUUAAAAUUUGUACUGUUUAUUUAUAUAAUUAUAACAUCUUCAAAAUCAAUAAUGAUUUUCUUCAUUUAGUAUUUAAACAUAACUAUUUUCUCAUAGUACUAGAGUCGCCAUAAGCAUCACUCUAUGGCUAUAUAAUUUCUGACAUGUGCUUUUAUUGGAAUUCAUUAAUAAUUUCAUUAUUUUUAGGUAUUUAGAUCAUGGCCCACUUUCCCCUACAACCACGAUACCUGUUUAAAUUGACAAAUCAUAGUUGUAUGGAUUUACGGGGCAAAAUGUGAUGUUUUGAUAUACGUAUAUGAUACAGUUUGAUUAAAUCAAGCUGCUUUAACAUAUCCAUCAUCCUGCUUACCUAUCAUUUUUAAUAAUGAGAUAUUUGAAAUGUAUUCUCUUAGUUAUUUUCAAAUACAUAAUACAUUAUUAUUGACUGUAGUCAUCCUGGUGUGCAAUGAAUCUCAAGAUGAAUAUUUCCAUGAACAUUAAAAAAAAUUCUUCCAUUUUGAAAU